rnacentral:ribozyme from 1 species
GCGCUGGGCCGUCGGCGACUGGGACUUGAGCGCAAGCCCCAGCAGGAGCAAGUCGAG